UAUUUUUAAUUAUAAGACCCCUAAAUUAAUGAUUUAAUCACAUUUUAAGGGUAAAAUCUUAUUUAAAAAGGAGUUGGUAAAGUACAAAAAGAAGAAGUGUUGACCUUACCUUAGUUAUGACGCAAGCAACCCCCUCACCCACUCCAUGACAACCCACACUCCUCCCCACCAUACCUUGUACUUUUUACCUCCCUCACAAGCCACCUCCAUGCUUUGAGGGCUGGAUAAUCAUCCUCUCUCCUCAUUUUUCUUUCAUUUGUUCUCAUUUCACAAGAAGAUCAAACUCCUUUCUCUCUCACUUUCUCUCUCUAGAAAUCCAAGAUUCAAGGGCUGAUCUUGAGAGUUUCCUCCACCUUUGGUAAGCAUAAUCCAUUUCCUUUAUGAUUACCUCUAUUAUUUCCACUCAAAUCAUGGAUAUCUUACACAAACUCCAUUAUAUUUGUGUUAGAGCUUCGAAUCUUCAAACGGUUCUUCUAGUGUUCUUGGGUUGAACACUUCUCUUCUUCAUCACUUAUCUACUGAAAUCACACAAGGUGAGUUCAUACCCCUACAUUUUCACGUUUUCUCAAGUUUUUAGGGGGGGAAUACAAGUUAAAAUGCUUAGAACAUAACUACAUUCUUCUAACAGCUUUCAUCAGAAAAGUUUCACUCCAUUCACGGACUGUUUUGGACAUCUUAAAUAUUUUUGUUUUCAAAACUGUUUUAGGUGCAUGUAGUUCCACUUCUUAGCUUUAAAAUGACUACUUGCACAUCUCCAUACGAUUUUUCUACAAUUUAUGGUGAUUUUUACAAAACCGCCUAUCAUUUCAAACAUCAAUCCGGACCAGUCUGUGAUUAUGGACUUUUUCACCCAAGUUAGAGAUCAUUAAAAAUUAUAAUAAAAAUUAUGAACAAACUAGACUCAUUUUCCAAACUCUCAGAAGUUACAGAACCUGAUUUGGACAUUUUAUGAUUUUUCUACAAUUUUUCCAAUAUCAGUUACAGAAAAGGUUAUUAACAGAAAAACACAAUAAAUUUCAUUUCACCUUGUAACAUGUCGAGCAAGGUAUACAUCGUUAGUUGAUUAUGUGUAGUUGCAAUAUAUGACAAAUUUUGUAUUCCUACAUAGACAUACAUCAGAAAACACAUGGAUUUACAUCUUCACAAGUAUGACAAAAAUAUAUAUAUAUAUAUAUACGAUAUUACGAGGCUAUAUUCAUUAAAAUAUAAACAUUGAUAAAUUAUGACAAGUAAGGCCUAUGCUCAUUUCCACGAAAUCAACCGUUAAACUAUAAUAGGUAUAGUUUAGGGUCAUCCAUAUAACAAACACAAUAUUAAAGGUCUUACACUUACAUAAGAGUUAUUGCCGCUAUGGACGAUUAAGAUAAUCUAUAAUAAGUAUAGUUAAGCCAUUAUACCCCCACAAACGAACUCGUUAGUUAUAAUUGGUAUAGUUAUGGUAAAUACAUAUUACAAACAAAGUAGUAAACUAUAAUAGGUAUAGUUUAUGUUUCAUAGACUCUAGGAACUUAAUUACAAGAAAGGAAUUCACCAUCACUUCGAUAGGCUAUCCAUAUGCAUAGUUCAGGUUCACUAAUCUCUAUUACUCCCCGGUGAACUAUGAUAUGUAUAGGUUACACUCACUAUCACCAUCACUUUGAUAGGCUAUUCAUAUGCAUAGUUCAGGUUCACUAAUCUCUAUUACUCCCCGGUGAACUAUGAUAUGUAUAGGUUACACUCACCAUCACCAUCACUUUGAUAAGCUAUCAUAUGCAUAGUUCAGGUUCACUAAUCUCUAUUACUCCCCGGUGAACUAUGAUAUGUAUAGGUUAUAUUCACGAUAGAUUUUCGUAUUGUUAGACUUCAACUAUAAUCGUUGAGCGUAUAUGCUUGAGUCAUACAAGAAUUUAGUCUGGAUUGGCUUAGAAUUGGUGGUGCCCGCCUCAUCUCCUAUUCCUUGUUUGGUUGUGGACCUAGGGCGGACCCAUUAUAUUCGACGUUUUAUCUAACAUAAAUAUUAUAUAACUUAUAUAUGCUGGACAAUUAUAGGGGAAAGCUACGGGUAAAUCUAGAAUUCAUCAUCGCAUCGUAUAAGAUUAUUCUGUUUACACUUAACUAAGAAAAUAUGGGAUUUUCUGGAAAUCAAACUUCAUCGAUUUUAAAAAGGAAAACGGUUUCUACUCCAACAAAACUCUUAUGAACUCACCAACUUAAUUGUUGACACUUUUUCAAAACUACUUGUAUUCUCAGGAAACCAGUGAAACAGGAAAACUUCAGCGCUUUGAGGAUGGGACGAUAAACCGUCAACAAUCUAUUUUUGUCAUCAUAUUGUAAUUGAUUUUGAAACAUGUAAACAUACACUUUGAUGUAACUCUUUCAAUUAUAUUUAUGAUGGUUGUAUUUACUUUGAGCACUAUUAUACACGUUGUUGUGAUACUGUACAUGAAGUCCUCCACCCCUGGACGUUUCCGCCAUCCUUGGUUUGGGGGUGUGACAGAUUGGUAUCAGAGCAUUGUUUAUAGUGAACUCAGUAUAUCGAACCACAUAAGAUAUACAAACU
rnacentral:lncRNA from 1 species